rnacentral:tRNA from 1 species
CCUCACAGCUCAGUUGGUAAAGAAUCUGCCUAUAAAGCAGGAGAUCCGGGUUUGAUUCCUGGGUCAGGA